UACGUAGGGUGCAAGCGUUGUCCGGAAUUAUUGGGCGUAAAGAGCUCGUAGGCGGCUUGUCGCGUCGGCUGUGAAAACCUGGGGCUCAACCCCGGGCCUGCAGCCGAUACGGGCAAGCGUAGAAUUCGGUAGGGGAGACUGGAAUUCCUGGUGUAGCGGUGAAAUGACGCAGAUAUCAGGAGGAACACCGGUGGCGAAGGCGGGUCUCUGGGCAUUAACUGACGCUGAGGCGCGAAAGCAUGGGGAGCGAACAGG
rnacentral:rRNA from 1 species